GUGGCUCACCCCUGAGGGGUUGGGCAGGGGUGCUCUCUCUGCCCGCGGAGGAGGGGAGCACGGGGCCAUCCUUGGGAGGUCCCGGGGGCCUUGCCCUGCUCACUCCUGCAUCCUUGUGGCACAAGUUCCUCCCCUGAGGCCCUGGGUCUUGCUCUCUGGCUGGACCCCACAGAGGGCUGGCCUGGGUCCCUAGUCCCCCAAUGUGUUUGAGGACAGCCCUGCAGGCCCAUGGCCCUGACCUGCCAUCCAGCACAUUCUCCCAGGGCUGAGGAAGGGGGGUGUCUAGCACCUCCUACAGAGCAGAGGCCUCAUGGUCUCUGGUUUCGAGGGCCGAGGCCAACUACCUGUCGCCUCUGUCCAUCUCCGUCGUCCAGGGCUGGGAUGCGGCCCUGGGGCUGUGGCAGGCCUGAGCCUCGUGUGGGCUGAGCCUCUUCUCUCUGGGCGAGUGAGGUUGAUGAGGUGUGGGUGCGACGUGUGGGUGUGAGUGUGGCAGGAGGCAAGCCCCGCCCGGCCCGGGAGGCCCAUCGGAGGCAGGAGCCCGUGUGGGCCGAGACUGCAGACAAGCUCUGCUGGAGGCACCGCUGGGGGUGCAUCUUCUCCAGGCCCCUGAGCCUCCCGGCCUGGCCUUUGCUGACGUCCCAGGUGCUAACUGCUCCCGUUCCUCCGACCCGACCCGUGUCCUGCCAACCAUGGUCAGCGCCCGGGUGUUCGUCCACUGGGAGGUAUGCACACCUGCCCGUCUCCCCCGCCCCCUUCAUGGCUGGGAUGUGUGCUUUCCCCCAAAAGAAGCAUCUGGUCGUCCACUGUCGGUUUCUGGGACGGGCAGCUUGAGGUGAUGGACGCACAGGGGACACGCUUGAUUCUCUCCCUUUAUUCACCUACUUUCAGAAUGAUGGGUUGGUUUUCUUGCAUCGCCCACUGAUUUCAGAGAGGUUCCCCCGUCGUUCUGAACUCAUGAAUUUGGGCGUGUUUGAUGUGUUUCCAUUUGCGGCAGGUACAGCCUGUAUUAAUUUAAUAAGUUGUCCUGUGUUUGGCUUGUGGGAGCCUCCUCAGCUGGACCCCCUGGUCCUCUGAGUGUCUGGGUGUCUGACU
rnacentral:lncRNA from 12 species